rnacentral:lncRNA from 1 species
GGUGGAGCGCCAAAGGAUAUCUGGCAUGUCCAAUAUGCAACAAGGAUGCAUCCUCUUUACAUUUAAAGUAUGGAUGAAAAAUAUGCUUCAUGGGUCAUCGAUGGUUUUUAUCUGGUAAUCAUUCUUGGAGGACCCGUUACAAUCAAUACAUUGAUGGUAAGUCCGACUGGCAUCUGCCACUUAAGGAGUUAAGUGGAGUAGAAGUUUUAGAAUAACUUGAAGUCAUU